UACUUGUUGCAACGCUGUAAUCAGUAAAGAAGCUGUCCAACUAACUAAACAGAAAACACGUUAUUUUGAUCCGUAAAAAUCUUUUCUUGUAUUGCAAAAGAAAAAUCUAAAAGGAAACGUUUUAGCAGCACAGAACAAGAAGUGCAUGACGUAAGAAGCACUCGCCAUACAUACUUGCAUAACUUGGGAAAUACUAGUCCAACAUGCCACCUCAAAGAAAACAGAGGAAGAUUGCAAUUAUGGGCUACCGCUCAGUUGGAAAAUCUUCACUGACCAUCCAAUUUGUUGAAAAUCAAUUUGUUGAUUCUUAUGACCCUACAAUUGAAAACACCUUCACCAAACCAUGGAAAGUAAGAGGGCAAGAUUUUGAGCUAAAGUUGGUGGAUACUGCUGGUCAAGAUGAAUAUGCUAUUUUCCCAGCUCAACAUUCAAUGGACAUGCAUGGUUAUGUACUUGUAUAUUCCAUUACUUCAGUUCAAAGCUUUGAGCUGUUACAAGUUUUGCUAGAAAAGAUUAUGGAUAUGACUGGUAAAAUCACAAUACCUCUUGUUAUUGUUGGUAAUAAAACAGACCUUCACCGUGAAAGAGUAGUCAGCACAGAAGAGGGCAAAAGGCUUGCCGACACUUGGAAAGCCUCAUUUUAUGAAGUUUCUGCUAGGUCACACGAGUCUGUCUGCGAAAUUUUUAACCGACUGAUAACGGAAAUGGAGAAAGCAGAUAGCAGUAAUGGAAACGAAAAGAGCAGUUGUGUUCUGUCCUGAACGGGUAUGAAAUGUAGAAAAAUCUACCAGCGCCAAUUUUUUUCCCUUCUAAUAUUACGCAGUUUUUCAUAACGACCGUUAUCUCGGUUUCUUGGAUUUGUGAAGCAACGUUGAAAAGCUUUCAUGGAAAGUUGUAUUUCUCGAUUUUGAAUAUCUAAAAUGACAUGGGGGAAAAGAUGAAAUAACGCAACAGAUCUUUUUUUCUCAGAAAAAGAUACACACCGUGCUGAAAAGUGCAUCGUAGUGGAACUGAACUUAAACAAUGUUCAACGCAUCCGUUCAAGAAGAAUGGUUAAUACAUGUACCCCUACUUCCCUUUCAUCCACCAUAGACAUUUCAAAGAAAAGAACGAAACAAUGUUUCAUUCGUGACAAUUCCCCGAUCCGAUUUUUUCGAUAAUAGAUACAUAAUUAUACACCACUUUAACUUAAAUCCAUGUUCGAAUCACUGGAUCCACCUGCAGCAUUUCCAUGAUGUCCGGAGCCAUCUUUCUGGAUCGAGUCGAAAA
rnacentral:misc_RNA from 1 species